rnacentral:rRNA from 1 species
UACGAAGGGGGCAAGCGUUGUUCGGAAUUACUGGGCGUAAAGGGCUCGUAGGCGGCCAACUAAGUCGGAUGUGAAAUCCCCAGGCUUAACCUGGGAACUGCAUCCGAUACUGGAUGGCUUGAAUCCGGGAGAGGGAUGCAGAAUUCCAGGUGUAGCGGUGAAAUGCGUAGAUAUCUGGAGGAAUACCGGUGGCGAAGGCGGCAUCCUGGACCGGCAUUGACGCUGAGUGAGCGAAAGCUAGGGGAGCAAACGGG